rnacentral:rRNA from 1 species
AGAAUCAACGCUGGCGGCGUGCCUAACACAUGCAAGUCGAACGAGAAAGUGGAGCAAUCCAUGAGUAAAGUGGCGACCGGGUGAGUAACACGUGACUAACCUACCUUCGAGUGGGGGAUAACCUCGGGAAACCGAGGCUAAUACCGCAUAACAUCGCAAGAUCAAAGCAGCAAUGCGCUGGAAGAGGGGGGUCGCGGCUGAUUAGCUAGUUGGCGGGUAACGGCCCACAAGGCGAAGAUCGGUAGCCGGCCUGAGAGGGCGCACGGCCACACUGGAACUGAAACACGGUCCAGACUCCUACGGGAGGCAGCAGUGGGGAAUUUUGCGCAAUGGGGGAAACCCUGACGCAGCAACGCCGCGUGGAGGAUGAAGCCCCUUGGGGCGUAAACUCCUUUCGACCAAGACGAUAAUGACGGUACUGGUGGAAGAAGCACCGGCUAACUCUGCGCCAGCAGCCGC